GGGGGAGUAGCUCAACAUGGUAGAGCAGCGGCCUCCAAAGCCGCGGGCUGUGGGUUCAAGUCCUGCCUCCCCCGCCA
rnacentral:tRNA from 2 species